UUUUUUGAAUCGAAAUUAAAUAACAAUACUAUACUAAUAAGUUUUAUGAUCAGAACAAAAAAGCAUAGCCAGUUUAAAUUCCUAAAAAGUUUGUUCUAAAUAUCCUUGAAGGGAAGUCCCUGCCAUUGAUUCCUAUGACUCCAUCGUAUACAGAGAGAAAAAUAAGAGGGAAUAAUAACUUAUGUCUAGUGUUGAUUAUCACUCCAUUCUUUUUUUAAUUUGAUUUUUGUCCCACAUUGGAGUAAAACUUAAAAUUAGACAGAACUGAAAGUAGAGAUUAACAGAACUAAACCACUCAGUAUGAAGCUGACUUAACCUUCUCACGGAGGAACUGCAACAUAUGUUCGCAUUUCCAGUUGUCAAUUCUAAUGGUUUCUUUAUGUUGACCAUCAUCAUCCAGCAUGAUCAACUUUGGUGGAGA
rnacentral:misc_RNA from 1 species